GACGAACCGAGCGAACGUUAUUCGGAAUCACUGGGCUUAAAGGGCGCGUAGGCGGGCCGUCAAGUCAGGGGUGAAAGCCCCCAGCUCAACUGGGGAAGUGCCUCUGAUACUGGCGGCCUCGAGGGAGGUAGGGGCGUGCGGAACUUCCGGUGGAGCGGUGAAAUGCGUAGAUAUCGGAAGGAACACCGGUGGCGAAAGCGGCGCGCUGGACCUCUUCUGACGCUGAGGCGCGAAAGCUAGGGGAGCAAACGGG
rnacentral:rRNA from 1 species